GCCCCUCUCUCUAUAGGCCCCUCACUCUAUAGGCUCCUCUCUCUAUAGGCUCCUCUCUCUAUAUGCCCUCUCUAACUAUAGGACCCUUCUCUCUACAGGCUCCUCCCUCUCUGGUCUCUCGCUCUGAACUCUAUCAAAGGCAGUGAUUCUUCUGACAGUGAUUGAUCUGAAUUACAGCCAAUCGCAGAAACAUCAAGCCAAAUUGUCAAUUUGAUCACUCCAAAUGUUUGUAAAAUAAGCCCCCUUUAAUGGGAGGUUACAUGUCUGGUGUUGAAACAGGAACAUAAAAAGAGGAGAGGGAAUGGAGAGGGGAAUAAAGGAGGGGAAGGAGCUGAAAGAAAAGCGUGGUGACUGGAGGUCUCCAUUUGGCAUGGUGGUUCAGUCAGUGACAGGGGAAGAGGCUACUGGCAGGCAGGGCUAGUCCUUUAGGAAGGAGAGGAGACAGGCAGGGCUAGUCCUUUAGGGGGGAGAGGAGACAGGCAGGGCUAGUCCUUUAGGGGGGAGAGGAGACAGGCAGGGCUAGUCCUUUAGGAAGGAGAGGAGACAGGCAGGGCUAGUCCUUUAGGAAGGAGAGGAGACAGGCAGGGCUAGUCCUUUAGGGGGGAGAGGAGACAGGCAGGGCUAGUCCUUUAGGGGGGAGAGGAGACAGGCAGGGCUAGUCCUUUAGGAAGGAGAGGAGACAGGCAGGGCUAGUCCUUUAGGAAGGAGAGGAGACGAUAAAAGGAAGCCGGGGCUGUUCCUUUGUGCCUGAAUCAAUCGAUACUCCUGAGCGCACUCUUUUAAACACUAUCCAUGUGCUGCAGGGGUGCUGCUGGGGC
rnacentral:lncRNA from 1 species